UGCACCGACCGGCCCUGAUUCGAGAGAAUCCAGUCCAACCAAAGCAACACAACACAACACAACGCUUCCUCCUCCUCUCCCCUCGAAUCGAUCCCCUCCAAACCCGCCGCCGCCGCCAUGGACCUCCUAUACCCAUCCCCACCGGCGUUCUCGUCUCCUCUAGCCUCACCGUCGACCUCCCGCCCCGCCCUGCAUCCCAUCACCGGCGGCCCCACCCUCUCCCCUCUCCGUCUCUUCCUAGGAGGGAGCGAGGCCUCAGAUCCACAGGCCGCGGCAACCACCGCCACCGCGUCCUACUCCUUCCACCCCACCUAGCCGCCCUCCGCCUCCACAGCUCUCCGUCCCUCCCUCCCUCCUCGCGCCCGCAGCCAUGUCGACCGAGCUCAGGACCCCUCUCCUUCAAGACCAAAACGAAGGCAGCAGGCCAGGGCGACUUCAGCGCCUCCCUUCUCCUGGACGGCAGUUCAGUCGUGUUGGUCGUGUGCCCCCACAACCAGAGAGGAGGGGAGAGGAGGCGGAGAUGCUGCUGCUGCACGGGCUGACGGGGAAGAACAAGCAGGCGUGGAAGGAGGGCAAGAUCCGCGGCAUGGCGGUGCUGGUCAAGAGCGGCGUGCUCGACCUCGGCGACUUCAACUCAUCCGUCCUCGACGGCGUCCACAAGAUCCUCGACGGCCAAGGACGAUGGCGUCUCCUUCCAUCUCGUCAGCGCCACCGCACCCAACCCCCGGAGAUGCAAUCAACGAUGGCAGGGGAGUCAGUUUUUCCGGGUCAAGUUUGAGUGGUCGAACGACUCACAGGGCAUCACCAGCACCAUUCCGAGUUCUUCCUCAAGACGCCCACCCUCGACGGCGUUCUCGCAACAAGAGUUCUCGCGGAUUGAAGGUUGUCAACAAAGAAAGGAAGAAAGAAAGAAAGAUCCAUUUCUCCAUGGAAGGAGGAAGGGACAUCUUGAUCGCAAGUGACUGACUGGAAGCAACCGAGGGAGCCGGCAACCUCUCCGACAUGCUGCUCAUGACCACCUCCCCAACCAGAUGCUGUUGGUAAGCUCUCUCUUCUCCCCCUCCAUCUAUUUGCUAAGCACACAUGUAUGCAAGAUGGAAAUCCAUCUAUUUAACUUGAUUUUGCUGAAAAAUGUUUCUUUUUAUCCUGUUGGAUGUGUAGGCAGUAGAGGAAGUAUGGAUGUUAAUUUUGUUUCACUCAAUAAAAUCCUUGUGUGUGCUAAUUAUGCAUUGGCAGUAGGCAGUAGACUUAGCCAUUUGUUGAGAUGAGGACCCUACGGCACAGUGAGCCGCACUGGACGGUGGCGCAAUGCAUGAGGGAACUAUGCAUCCUGAAUGGCAUACACUCUUGGCUUCAUGAAAUGACCCAUGUCUAUGAUUCAAGGUAUCUUAGAUCUUCGAUGUCGGAUGCAAAUAAUUGCUCAAUUUCACUUCUCUGCAAUGUUCAUUCUCACAUAUUUCUAUCAUUCUUUGCAGGGAUAAAGUAAAGAAAAAGAAGAAAAGAUUACUAGAAGAUUAGUUUUAGAAUUUUCUUUUAUUUCCUUGUAAAUUUUCUUUUAUUGGAUACUUGUAAAGACAUUGUAAUAUUCUUACUAUAAUAAAAAUUAUGAUUCUAUUUCA